ACGCACUGUUCGUGACCUGCUGGUCUGCCUGUGGCUGGUGGGUUCCAUUCCGGUGCGACAGUAGUUCCAGCGGCACAUGACUGACUGACUGGUGGCCCUCAGUCUCAGCUCGUGGGGACACAG
rnacentral:snoRNA from 1 species